rnacentral:rRNA from 1 species
UACGGGGGGGGCAAGCGUUGUUCGGAAUUACUGGGCGUAAAGGGUUCGUAGGUGGCUUGUUAAGUCAGACGUGAAAUCCCUCGGCUCAACCGGGGAACUGCGUCUGAGACUGAUGAGCUCGAGUGCAGGAGAGGAACGCGGAAUUCCAGGUGUAGCGGUGAAAUGCGUAGAUAUCGGAAGGAACAUCAGUGGCGAAAGCGGCUUCCUGGUCCAGCACCGACGUUCAGGCACGAAAGCGUGGGGAGCAAACAGG